AAUUGCUAUAGCCAAAUUCUCAUCGCCGAACCUUCUUCUUCGGGAUCCUACUCAGUCAUGGCUAACAACAGCGGCAACAUGGCAAGAUCAUUCCUUCAGGUAGCCUCAACGGAGGAGGUAGCUCCUUCUCUUCGAGUUGUUCAGAUCGAGGGACUGGUUAUCUUGAAGAUAAUCAAACACUGCAAGGAGUUUUCUCCGGCUUUGGUCACUGGUCAGCUUCUUGGGUUGGAUGUUGGUAGCGUUCUCGAAGUUACUAACUGUUUCCCUUUCCCGAUUCGGGAGGAGGAUGAAGAGAUUGAAGCCGAUGGCGCCAAUUACCAGCUUGAAAUGAUGAGAUGCUUGAGGGAGGUUAAUGUUGACAAUAAUACAGUUGGAUGGUACCAAUCAACAUUGUUAGGUUCUUUCCAAACUGUGGAAUUGAUUGAGACCUUUAUGAACUACCAGGAAAAUAUUAGACGAUGUGUAUGUAUCAUUUAUGAUCCUUCAAGAUCCAAUCAGGGUGUCUUAGCUCUCAAGGCCUUGAAACUUUCAGAUGCCUUCAUGGAACUGUACCGCAGUAAUAAUUUUACUGGGGAGAAGUUGAGAGAGAGAAAUUUGUCAUGGGUUGA
rnacentral:misc_RNA from 1 species